rnacentral:rRNA from 1 species
GACGUAGGGCGCGAGCGUUUGUCCGGAUUUAUUGGGCGUAAAGAGCUCGUAGGCGGCUCGUUGCGUCGGCUGUGAAAACCCGCAGCUCAACUGUGGGCUUGCAGCUGAUACGGGCGGGCUGGGAUUCGGUAGGGGAGACUGGAAUUCCUGGUGUAGCGGUGAAAUGCGCAGAUAUCAGGAGGGAACACCGGUGGCGAAAGGCGGGUCUCUGGGCCGAUAUCGACGUGGAGGAGCGGAAAAGCGUGGGGGAGCGAAACAGG